CACUGCAAAUAUUAGUAAAUAACGCUAAUAAAGUCAGUCUCGAAAUGGAACCGUUUUUGCUAAUGUCAAUAGGAAUCUUAUAGAAGAAAGAAAGCAACUGUAUGAGAUAGUUGUGUUAAUAAAGAGCAAGAUGACUGUGAUGGUAGUCUAAAUAAAGAAUUAGACUACUGAGAUGGUUGCGUUGUUAAAGAAUAAGGACUUCUAAGAUGGUUGUAUACUAUAAGUAUACGAAGACUGAUAUGGUUGUCUCAAUGAAGAAUUAGACUACUGAGAUGAUUGUGUUGUUCAAGAAUAAGGAUUUCUAAGAUGGUUGUAUACUAUAAGUAUACGAAGACUGAGAUGGUUGUCUCAAUGAAGAAUUAGACUACUGAGAUGGUUGCGUUGUUAAAAAAUAAGGAUUUCUAAGAUGGUUGUAUACUAUAAGUAUACGAAGACUGAGAAAUGGUUGUCUCAAUGAAGAAUAAGACAACUGAGAUGGUUGUGUUGUUAAAGAAUAACAACAUUGAGAUAGAUCGUAGUGUAAUUUAAAAAUAAAUGAACUGAAAAAGAUGGUUGUUCAGUUAUAAGACGACUAAAAUGACUGUGAAAGCUUUAGUUAACCCCCUAACGCAUAUUGAUCGGAAUCAUGCACGGUAAUGAACGCCAAACUAAUUGUUUAUGAAUAUUAAUGCUUAUUUUAUGAGCCGCUCUCGUCAAUGGCAUUGAAGAACAACGCCAUCUUAGUGCAAGUGUGUGAAGGUAGUUUGUGUAUAUCUACGUCGAAGUUUUUUUUUGUGAUUAUCAAAAUGCAGACGUUCGGUUCGCAGAAAUGCAAACAUAUGCAACCACCAAGCAGUCGCUCAAACAUGUGCAACGCAGCGUUUGUAGUAAAAUUACGAAAUACUAUAACGGUCGAACCAUUGCGCAAAUCGUAAGAGAUGACCGUUGAUACAAUAUAAAGAUCGCAAGGAAUUAUUAGGAUCACUCGUUAUCGCGUUUUGAAGAAAAAUGUGAAAAGACGAUGAACGUACACGGCAGUUAACAUUCAGCAUAUCAUUACCGAUGAGGUCGACGAACUGAAGAAUAGAGAAAAAUUUAGUGAAGUCUGGGAUACUUUUAUAAAUCUUAACAUGUAAUCACAAGACUUAUUAAAGAAUACAUGAAGA